rnacentral:rRNA from 1 species
CACGCGUACCCAUCUCGAACACGACCGUUAAGCCCUCCAGCGCCAAUGGUACUUGGACCGCAGGGUCCUGGGAGAGUAGGACGUCGCCAGGC